CAUCGUUUACAUCUGCACCAAUUACAUUGAAAUAUUUAGCUUCAAAUCCUUAUGAAGUUUCAUCGGUUGUAAUUCAACAGCGGAUCACUAUGACUGUAGGAAUCCUCUGAUUAAUUAAAACUUUGGUCUGAAAAACAACCGAUUAAUUCAUGAAUUUGAUGGCAUUUUGGGCGUUCAACGAAAUCAGUGAAUUUUUACUUCUAUUACCUGUAGGUCAUAAACCUAUGUCCACUCUUGAAAUUUCAUAUUGACCGGUGAAAAACUCUCCGAGCAAAAUGGCAUACAAACAGACAGGACGAAAGUAGUUAAUGUUUUCUAGUAAUAAAAACAAGAUUUACUUCCUUCAAUAUAGUUUCUUAUAGCCUUAUUUGUAAAGAUUAACUGAAAAUACAGUAACGUCCUUAAAAAGAUUCUGAAAGUUAAACAAUGUUACAGAUACUGGGUUUAAUUUUGGUUGACGAAAAAAAAGUUUUGCUGUACAAUACAUCGAAUAUUAAUAUUGGUGCAACUAGGGAAUUUUCCUAGAAGAUGCAACGACGGUGAUUUCGAUGAAUUUGUUAAACGGGAGAUUACAUUUGAACUAGUGUUGGAUGUCAAACUAAUAAUUUUGAAAAAGUUGAUUUACAUUUAACCCAACGUAAGUAUGCAUAUAUGUAUGUACAUACCUGCUCAUACACUACCUUUAGUAUAAAAGCAUCACAAAUCCUAAUGUUUUCCCUGUGGCAACCCUUUGAAUGUUGUAUUUACCUAAAGCCAACAGCAUCAAUUUUCAUUUACAUUUUCUUUUGAUGUGUGCUCAGCGUCCAAAAUACUUUUUACUUGUUUGAACGCAGAAUGUCAAAACUUUGCCUGUGAACUCCCGAAGUUUACCUGCACAAUCAUUUCAGAAAAAAAUGUUUUCAAACCCAAUCAAGAACUCAUCUUUCUCUUUUGGGAAUGAAUGUACGCAAAAAGCGUUUCUUAAUGAUCUAACCGCUUUCGUUUUAAGGCUUAUCUACCUACAAAUUGAAAAUACGACCGAAAUUGGAAAUGACAAAAAAUAAAGUGAUGUUGUUUAAUAAGACAGGUUUUUAGAGAGACAAAACUCCUAAUCCCUUAUUUUCACCGAAGUUUCCCAUGCAUUUUUACGCACCAUCAUUUUGGUAAGGAGACGUGGAAUUUUGAUUAUGGGCUAAACACGUAAUAAUAAUUAUAAAAGAACUCAGCAAUUGAAUUUUUCAGUUUGUUUUUAUAAUUGUCUUAUACAUAUAAUGCCGGUCGUGUUCGAUUUUUACGUCUCCUUCCUUAAUUCCUGUAUUAUACUAUGACCAAAACAUUUUUAUUUAUCAAGUAGAUUUUGUAAUAUUAUUGAUUUGAUUGAGUUCGCAUGCUUUAGUAGCUGUUGUAUUA